rnacentral:rRNA from 1 species
GAUGAACGCUGGCGGCGUGCCUAAUACAUGCAAGUCGAGCGAACAGACGAGGAGCUUGCUCCUUUGACGUUAGCGGCGGACGGGUGAGUAACACGUGGGUAACCUACCUAUAAGACUGGGAUAACUUCGGGAAACCGGAGCUAAUACCGGAUAAUAUUUCGAACCGCAUGGUUCGAUAGUGAAAGAUGGCUUUGCUAUCACUUAUAGAUGGACCUGCGCCGUAUUAGCUAGUUGGUAAGGUAACGGCUUACCAAGGCAACGAUACGUAGCCGACCUGAGAGGGUGAUCGGCCACACUGGAACUGAGACACGGUCCAGACUCCUACGGGAGGCAGCAGUAGGGAAUCUUCCGCAAUGGGCGAAAGCCUGACGGAGCAACGCCGCGUGAGUGAUGAAGGUCUUCGGAUCGUAAAACUCUGUUAUUAGGGAAGAACAAACGUGUAAGUAACUGUGCACGGCUUGACGGUACCUAAUCAGAAAGCCACGGCUAACUACGUG